rnacentral:rRNA from 1 species
UACAGAGGGUGCGAGCGUUGUCCGGAAUUAUUGGGCGUAAAGAGCUCGUAGGCGGUGUGUCACGUCGGCCGUGAAAACCUGCAGCUUAACUGUGGGCGUGCGGUCGAUACGGGCAUCACUGGAGUUCGGCAGGGGAGACUGGAAUUCCUGGUGUAGCGGUGAAAUGCGCAGAUAUCAGGAGGAACACCGGUGGCGAAGGCGGGUCUCUGGGCCGAUACUGACGCUGAGGAGCGAAAGCGUGGGGAGCAAACAGG